CAUCGGGAUGGGCCGCAUCGGCCGCGCCAUCGCCCGGCGCUGCCAUUUCGGCUUCGGGAUGGAGGUGGUGUUCCAUAACCGCUCGGUCACC
rnacentral:tRNA from 1 species